rnacentral:rRNA from 1 species
AUGCCUGGUUCGAACAAGGCGUCCAGCUCCCUCCUGGACCAGUACAAGGUGAUGGAGGGAAUGGAGGACCAGCACAAGAUUCUCAAGCGCAAGCUUCCGGCCAUCCUCGACGUCAUGACCGACGCCGAGGAGCAGGCCACGGCUCAUAGAGAUGGGGCCAAAGCCUGGCUCCAGGAGCUCAAGACAGUGGCCUAUGAGGCAAAUGAAGUCUUCGACGGAUUCAAGUACGAAGUGCUCCGCCGUGAAGCCGCAUAUUUAAAUGAAACAACCAAACAAGAACAACACAAGUUCAAUUUUAUUGCGGGGCGCACACAUUCAAAUUCGCUAGAGCACAUCGUUGAUUAG